rnacentral:tRNA from 1 species
GAUCCCUUAGCUCAGCUGGGAGAGCGCCUGCCUUGCACGCAGGAGGUCAGCGGUUCGAUCCUCUCCGGGAUCA